UACAGAGGUCUCAAGCGUUGUUCGGAUUCAUUGGGCGUAAAGGGUGCGUAGGCGGCGCGGUAAGUCGGGUGUGAAAUCUCGGAGCUUAACUCCGAAACUGCAUUCGAUACUGCCGUGCUUGAGGACUGGAGAGGAGACUGGAAUUUACGGUGUAGCGGUGAAAUGCGUAGAUAUCGUAAGGAAGACCAGUGGCGAAGGCGGGUCUCUGGACAGUUCCUGACGCUGAGGCACGAAAGCGUGGGUAGCAAACAGG
rnacentral:rRNA from 1 species